UUUAAUAUGGCAGAAUAGUGCUUUGAAUUUAAGAUUCAAGAAUAAAAUUUUUAAUUUUUAUUAAAA
rnacentral:tRNA from 1 species